AUUGAACGCUGGCGGCAGGCCUAACACAUGCAAUCGGGCGAGCGGCGGAAGGGUAAGAAUGUAUGGGGAUAUGCCAGAUGGAGGGGGAUAACUACUGGAAACGGUAGCUAAUACCGCAUACCCUCAGAUGAACCCAUAGGGGAUUCUCUUGUAGGUGAGGUAACGGCUCACCUAGGCGCCGAUCCCUAGCUGGUCUGAGAGGAUGAUCAGCCACACUGGGACUGCGACACGGCCCAGAAUCCUACGGGAGGCAGCAGUGGGGAAUAUUGCACAAUGGGCGCAAGCCUGAUGCAGCCAUGCCGCGUGUAUGAAGAAGGCCUUGGGGUUGUAAAGUACUUUCAGUCGGGAGGCGUUACUGACAGAAGAAGCACCGGCUAACUCCGUGCCAGCCGCAGCGGUAAUAC
rnacentral:rRNA from 1 species